CAACCCUCAGGUCCCCCUUUUCGGAGGGGGAGACACCCUGGUGUUGGGGGACGGCAUCCCGGCCCGCUGUCUCAGUGUGCCACGCCGCCCCCGAAAUGAAUUGGCGGCCUCGUCGCGUGCCACCCCUGCGUAGUAGCACAACCUCGCAACGGGAGCCCGACGCGGCCACUGCCGUAAAACGCCCAACUUUUACAG
rnacentral:misc_RNA from 1 species